UGUUGGUGCUUUUGUUUAUAUAUUUUGUGCUGUUUUUCGUGAAAUUAAUCCGCCGAAGCCCGAACCAAAUGUUUGUUUGCGACUUAAACGCUUGUGAUUUGUGUUCAUUAUGCCUAGACGGUGUGAAUUAGGAUGUUAUAAUUCUAAAAAGAACCUUCAAUUUCCUCAUCCAAAAAAGAAUCCUGAGCGUUUCAAGGCUUGGGUUCAUAUAGUUGGUGGGAAGUUAUAUAGUCCCGCUGAUUAUGAACUGUAUAAAAAGAAGGUCAUCUGUGAUAUCCAUUUCACAGACAGGGACAGGAAUCGUAUAUAACCGACAAAAUUUUCUGGCUGUGCCAUCACUUCAUCUGCCUGGCAAAUCUAAUGAAGUUGGUACUUCAGAAAAAGUUUUACCUGCAC